GACGUCAAGUCAUCAUGCCCCUUACGUCUUGGGCUGCACACAUGCUACAAUGGCCGGUACAAAGGGCUGCGAUACCGCAAGGUGGAGCGAAUCCCAAAAAGCCGGUCUCAGUUCGGAUCGGGGUCUGCAACUCGACCCCGUGAAGUCGGAGUCGCUAGUAAUCGCAGAUCAGCAUUGCUGCGGUGAAUACGUUCCCGGGCCUUGUACACACCGCCCGUCACGUCACGAAAGUCGGUAACACCCGAAGCCGGUGGCCCAACCCUUGUGGGGGGAGCCGUCGAAGGUGGGACCGGCGAUUGGGACGAAGUCGUAACAAGGUAGCCGUACCGGAAGGUGCGGCUGGAUCACCUCCUUUCUAAGGAGCUUUCUGGCUGGGUGCCUUCUGUAGUGGAGGGUGUCUGGUCCAGAGCGAAGACCAGCUGGAUGGUUGGUCUGGGUGCUCAUGGGUGUGGAACGCUGACUAUGUUUCUGUCUGGUCUGGUCUGUUGUCCGGGGUUCCUGUGUGUUCUCUGGGUGGUGGGUUGUCUGGGUGGAUCGGUACGCUGUUGGGUUGUGAGGGAGUGAGUUGCCCUCGUGUACGAUCCUGCCUUCUGCUGGCCCGUUGGGGCUGGUGGGAGGCAGGUUUGCGGGCUGGUUCGUCGUGGGAUACCGCUGUCUUUUAUGGUGGUGGGUCCCGCAGGUGCGGCUGGUUUCCGUUCGUAGUUUGAGAACUGCACAGUGGACGCGAGCAUCUUUAUCUUUGUGGCCAAGUUAUUAAGGGCGCACGGUGGAUGUCUUGGCACCAGGAGCCGAUGAAGGACGUGGGAGGCUGCGAUAUGCC
rnacentral:rRNA from 1 species